UUUUUAUUUUUUCUAUUAUAGUUGAUUUACAAUGUUUUGUCAAUUUCUGCUGCACAGCCAAGUGACCCAGUCAUAUAUAUAUGAAUAUAUACAUUCUUUUUUCCACUUUAUCCUCCAUCAUGUUUCAUUACAAGUGACUAGAUGUAGUUCCCUGUGCUAUACAGCAGGAUCUCAUUGCUUAUCCACUCCAGAUGCAACAGUUUGCAUCUACUAACCCCAACUGAUGUGAUCUUGAGUUGAUUUCUGUUACUUACAAACAUGGGUGCUAGAUAACAAAGAAACUGUAUCCUCAUAUAAUGAGUGUCCCAUGUAACACUUCAGGUAUUGAGCAACGUGCAGUAUAAACAGACAUCCUCCAGUUUGGUGCUGAUUCAUUAAUUAACAUUCUGUUAUUGUGUUCCAACCAACCUCACCUCUAGCCCACAUGUAUCUCAUGCUCUCUCCAGGACUGAACUUUCAACCCUCAAGACUUUUUAACUUUUUUGUCUUUCUAUGGCUGCACCUGCAGCAUAUGGAAGCUCCCAGGCGAGGGAUCAAAUCGGAGCUGCAGCUGCAGGUCUACACCACAGCCAUGGCAACAGUAUAUCUGACCCACACCUGCGACCUAUGUGGCAGCUUGUGGCAUUACCAGAUCCUUUACCCACUGAAUGAGGCCAGGGACAGAACCCACAUCCUCAGGGAAAAUGUUUAGUUCUUAACCCCCUGAGCCACAAUGGGAACUCCUACUUGACUCUUUCCUUUAGUUGGUUUCCACCAGUGCCUGAAGCCUGACCUUCUCCCAUGCCUGUUUUGAGCCACACAAUUUGACAUUAAUGAGGUAAUGAAUCACUUCUGUUUCCAAAACACCAUCCCACGGCCAAAGAAUCACCCAAGGUUGGACAUUAGACAAGUUCGAUGCAACUCUAGACACGAUUUCAAAUGGAGGCAACUCUAGACAUGAUUUCCAAUUGAUAAUCACAAGGAAGACAUGUAAAUGUCAACACCAGCACGGCACACACAAAAUUACAUUCAAAAGUCGGUUACACAGGAGAGUCCCCUUGUGGUGCAGCAAGUUAAGGAUCUGGCAUUGCCACAGCUGUGGCACAGGGUGCAGCUGCGCCACGGGUUCAAUCCCUGGACCAGGAACUUCCAUAUGCCAUGGAUGUGGCGGUGAAAAAGUCAUUUACACAUGAAAAAAAAAUGAACACUCUGCAUUGGUCAUUAAGGGAACAAAAAAUCAAAACCACAAAAAGAUAGCACUUCACACCCAGGAGAAUACCUGUAAUCAACAAGAUAGAUAAUAACAAGCGUUAUUAACAAGGAUGUAAAAGACCCUUCUAUGUCACUGAUAGAGAUGGAAAAUGGAGCAGCCGCUUUGGAAAACAGUCUGGUAGUUCCCCAAAACAGGAAACCCAGAAUUACCACAUGACCCAGCAAUUUCAUGUCUAGGUAAAUGAUAGCAUAUGUUCACAUAAAAGCGUGUAUGUGAGUGUGUCAUACCAGCAUGAUCUGCAACAGCCAGAGUGGAACUAACCCAAAUGUCCAUGAACUAAAGAACGGAUAAAUCCAAUAUAAAAAUCCAUAAAAUGUGAUAUUAUUUGGCAAUAAAAAGAAAUCACGUGCUGAUAACAUGCCACAACAUAGAUGAAACUUGAAAACAUUCUACAAAGUGAAAGACGCCAGACACAAAAGACCAUACAUCGUAGGAUUCCAUUUAUAAGAAACGCCCAGAAGAGGCAAAUCUGGAGACAAAUUGGGUUAAUGGUUGCCUGGGGCUGGGGACAUGUGGGGAGAGCUGGGGGGAUAAUGGAGUGUCUGGUAAUGGUACAGAGUUUCUUUUGUUCUAAAAAUGAUUGUGGGGAUGGUUGUAAAAUUCUGUGAAUAUACUAAACGCGAUUGAAAUGUACACUUUAAAUGGAUGAAUUGUAUGGUAUGUAAAUUAUAGCUCACUACAGUUGUUUAAAAGAAGAGGUCCAUUAGAAGGUAAUCAAUCCCAUUACCAGUCAUGGUAUAAAGAAAAGGAAUGCACUCAGUAACCUAGUUUUUCUAGUUCCUUAAAACAUCGGUCAAAACCCUAAAGUUAACAUACAUGCAACUUUCUUAAAGCAGCCUAUACAUUUAAUUCAACAUCACUUGAUUUCUGCCAGAGCAGGUAGGAGCGGAGACUCUGGAAUCCAGAACUGGGUUUGAAGCUCAGCCCCACCACUCAAAAGUUGAAUGCCCUUGGUUAUCCCACGUAACCCCUUCCAAGCCUCAGUUUCCUGAUAGGUAAAACAAGGAAAAUAACAGUGCCCCUCCUACUGGGUUGUUGUGAAAAAUAAAUGAAAUAACUCAUAAACUGUUAAGCCAGACCUGGCAUAGAGAAGCACGCCAAUACUAAGUUUUAGAAAUCAACGAAUACAUACAGACAGAAAACUGACAACAAAACCAGCAAGCUCUUAUGUGCAAUGUACCAAGUCCUUGGAAAGGACACACAUAACACAGUUGCCUUCUUCAAUUUUAAUAUCCAGCAGACGAAUAAAACACUAUGAGAAGGGAUUUGUCCAAGAGACAUUUAAGCUGGGACAAGUGGAAGUUUCUGAAUCAGAGAUUAAGGGGCAGGGGGAGGGGGGGAAUGGAACAAAAUGGGAAGUAUCGCUUAAAUGCAAUGCUUUGCAAGCUCAUAUACAAACACCAGCGGCUCAAGGGGCUAGAAAUCUCAGCACUCAUCAGUGAACUGUGCGUCUCUAUGAAGAAUCGCAAAGAAACACGGAAACCACUGAGCACAGGUAACACAAAGCCUGACUAUGCAGACUCUCACCCGUUUGGUACCAACCGAAGGGCUGGAGGAAAUGAACAGCAGAGAGAUUAAUUACAUAUUUUGACAAAUUCACAACAGCAAAUCAAAUAUGUAAUAUCUCCAGUCUCAACAUUUCUAACCACCAGCUUUCAGACGCCUCUGCAUCUCAUUAAAAACAUUUUUAAAAAAAUAAAAUAACUUGGAGUUCCCGUCAUAGCGCAGUGGUUAACGAAUCCGACUAGGAACCAUGAGGUUGCAGGUUCGAUCCCUGGCCUUGCUCAUGGGUUAACGAUCUGGCGUUGCCGUGAGCUGUGGUGGAGGUUGCAGACACGGCUCGGAUCCCGCGUUGCUGUGGCUCUGGCGUAGGCAGGUAGCUACGGCUCC
ensembl:lncRNA